rnacentral:rRNA from 1 species
UACGUAGGGGGCAAGCGUUGUCCGGAAUUAUUGGGCGUAAAGAGCUCGUAGGCGGUCUGUCGCGUCUGGUGUGAAAACUCAAGGCUUAACCUUGGGCCUGCAUCGGGUACGGGCAGACUAGAGUGCGGUAGGGGAGACUGGAAUUCCUGGUGUAGCGGUGGAAUGCGCAGAUAUCAGGAGGAACACCGAUGGCGAAGGCAGGUCUCUGGGCCACUACUGACGCUGAGAAGCGAAAGCAUGGGGAGCGAACAGG